rnacentral:rRNA from 1 species
AACGAACGCUGGCGGCAUGCCUAACACAUGCAAGUCGAACGAGACCUUCGGGUCUAGUGGCGCACGGGUGCGUAACGCGUGGGAACGUACCUUUUGGUUUCGGAACAACCCAGGGAAACUUAGGGCUAAUACCGGAUAAGCCCUUACGGGGAAAGGAUUUAUCGCCGAAGAUCGGCCCGCGUCUGAUUAGCUAGUUGGUGUGGUAACGGCGCACCAAGGCGACGAUCAGUAGCUGGUCUGAGAGGAUGAUCAGCCACAUUGGGACUGAGACACGGCCCAAACUCCUACGGGAGGCAGCAGUGGGGAAUAUUGGACAAUGGGCGCAAGCCUGAUCCAGCCAUGCCG